rnacentral:rRNA from 1 species
AUACGGAGGAUGCGAGCGUUAUCCGGAUUUAUUGGGUUUAAAGGGUGCGUAGGCUGUGCGUUAAGUCAGGGGUGAAAUGCCGUCGCUCAACGACGGAGCUGCCCUUGAUACUGGCGUGCUGGAGUACGGAUGCCGUUGGAGGAAUGAGUGGUGUAGCGGUGAAAUGCUUAGAUAUCACUCAGAACACCGAUUGAGAAGGCAUCUGACGAAUCCGUCACUGACGCUGAGGCACGAAAGCGUGGGGAUAGAACAGGAUUAGAUCCCCUGGUAUUCCACGCCGUAAACGAUGAUGACUAACCGUCGGCGAUAGACAGCCGGUGGCCAAGCGAAAGCGAUAAGUCAUCCACCUGGGGAGUACGUCGGCACCGAUGAAACUCAAAGGAAUUGACGGGG